rnacentral:pre_miRNA from 1 species
CAUUCUGCAUUGCUUAAUAACUUAUCUGAUGAAUUAGUAUUAUGCAAAGUAGAAUGUA